GAGACUCUGUGCGCGUGCAUAUCAAUAAGCGGAGGAAAAGAAACUAACAAGGAUUCCCUAGUAACGGUGAGUGAAGCGGGAAGAGCUCAAAUUUGAAAUCUUAAAGGGUUCUACCUUGACGAAUUGUAGUUUAUAGAAGUGUUUUCUGUAGUGGAGUUCGGUAAAAGUUCUUUGGAAUAGGACAUCAUAGAGGGUGAGAAUCCCGUAUUUGACCGUUACUUCCUAGCUGUGUGAUACACUUUCAAAGAGUCGGAUUGUUUGGGAAUGCAGUCCAAAAUGGGUGGUAAAUUUCAUCUAAAGCUAAAUAUUGGCGAGAGACCGAUAGCGAACAAGUACCGUGAGGGAAAGAUGAAAAGAACUUUGAAAAGAGAGUUAAACAGUACGUGAAAUUGUCAAAAGGGAAGCGUUUGACACCAGUGUUGUUUAGUUGAAAAUCAAUUCAAUAGUUUUUGAUUUUAAGUAGUAUUGACUUCAUCAGCUUGCUGCUUUCUUUUCAGAAAUUAUUGAAUGCACUUUUCAGUUAACAAGUCAACAUCAAUUUCUUUUGUUGUAAAAGGGUAUGAGGAAGGUGGCUUACUCUUCGGCGUAAAGUGUUUAUAGCCUUGUAGCCUCUGCAAUCGGAGAGAUUGAGGAUCAGCAGCGUAGACUCUUCGGGGUUAGAUACGCUUGUGCUAAGCUAUAGCCUUGUAUAGACAACUUGUUGACUAUGCUCAGUCAUGUAGCUUACUCGCUUGAUGCUAUUUUACCUACGCUUAGGAUGUUGACAGCAGUAUAGACUGU
rnacentral:rRNA from 1 species